rnacentral:lncRNA from 1 species
UCAAAUAUAUAAAUUCUACCAAAACUUGACAAAGUUUUUCCUAAAAGUUGGACAUUCCCAAAGGUAUGAUUUUCUGCUUAAUCCAGUAUGUUCAUACAUACAUAUACAAAUUCAGAUUUCUAACAAACAAAACAUCUAACGAUGCAUAACAGGAGUACAUACAUAUACAUGCAAUCAUUCCAAUUAAGCAAACACAGUGAAAGCU